CAUCUCAGCAGCAUAGAUACUAAAAAAAAGGCUGGAAGGAUACAGAGAUUAGCAUGGCCCUUGGGCAAGGAUACCCACUGAAAUUCAUGAAGCAUUCCGUGUUUUU